AAGUCGUAACAAGGUCUCCGUAGGUGAACCUGCGGAGGGAUCAUUACUGAGUUACACUCAAACCCUGUUUAAGAAUCUGUUGCUUCGGAGGCGCCCCUCGGGAGGGGAUCUGCUUCGGCCGCCUCCAAAAGCACCUUAACUUUUUGACUGUGUUCAAUUUAUCUGUCCUCAAAAAAAAAUCAAAACCUCAACAACGGAUCUCUUGGUUACA
rnacentral:misc_RNA from 1 species